GCCGGUGUCGUAUAGAGGUUAGUACAAGUCGUUGUGGCCAAGAAGCAAUACCGACUAAACCCAGGUUCGAUUCCUGGCACCGGCA
rnacentral:tRNA from 1 species